rnacentral:tRNA from 1 species
GGCCCCAUCGUCUAGCGGCCAAGGACGUUCUAUCGAAAAACACGGGUUCGAGUCCCGUUGGGGCUA